UUUAGAGUUUUGAACAGGCUCAGGACGAACGCUGGCGGCGUGCCUAAUACAUGCAAGUCGAGCGGACAGAAGGGAGCUUGCUCCCGGAUGUUAGCGGCGGACGGGUGAGUAACACGUGGGUAACCUGCCUGUAAGACUGGGAUAACUCCGGGAAACCGGAGCUAAUACCGGAUAGUUCCUUGAACCGCAUGGUUCAAGGAUGAAAGACGGUUUCGGCUGUCACUUACAGAUGGACCCGCGGCGCAUUAGCUAGUUGGUGAGGUAACGGCUCACCAAGGCGACGAUGCGUAGCCGACCUGAGAGGGUGAUCGGCCACACUGGGACUGAGACACGGCCCAGACUCCUACGGGAGGCAGCAGUAGGGAAUCUUCCGCAAUGGACGAAAGUCUGACGGAGCAACGCCGCGUGAGUGAUGAAGGUUUUCGGAUCGUAAAGCUCUGUUGUUAGGGAAGAACAAGUGCAAGAGUAACUGCUUGCACCUUGACGGUACCUAACCAGAAAGCCACGGCUAACUACGUGCCAGCAGCCGCGGUAAUACGUAGGUGGCAAGCGUUGUCCGGAAUUAUUGGGCGUAAAGGGCUCGCAGGCGGUUUCUUAAGUCUGAUGUGAAAGCCCCCGGCUCAACCGGGGAGGGUCAUUGGAAACUGGGAAACUUGAGUGCAGAAGAGGAGAGUGGAAUUCCACGUGUAGCGGUGAAAUGCGUAGAGAUGUGGAGGAACACCAGUGGCGAAGGCGACUCUCUGGUCUGUAACUGACGCUGAGGAGCGAAAGCGUGGGGAGCGAACAGGAUUAGAUACCCUGGUAGUCCACGCCGUAAACGAUGAGUGCUAAGUGUUAGGGGGUUUCCGCCCCUUAGUGCUGCAGCUAACGCAUUAAGCACUCCGCCUGGGGAGUACGGUCGCAAGACUGAAACUCAAAGGAAUUGACGGGGGCCCGCACAAGCGGUGGAGCAUGUGGUUUAAUUCGAAGCAACGCGAAGAACCUUACCAGGUCUUGACAUCCUCUGACAACCCUAGAGAUAGGGCUUUCCCUUCGGGGACAGAGUGACAGGUGGUGCAUGGUUGUCGUCAGCUCGUGUCGUGAGAUGUUGGGUUAAGUCCCGCAACGAGCGCAACCCUUGAUCUUAGUUGCCAGCAUUCAGUUGGGCACUCUAAGGUGACUGCCGGUGACAAACCGGAGGAAGGUGGGGAUGACGUCAAAUCAUCAUGCCCCUUAUGACCUGGGCUACACACGUGCUACAAUGGACAGAACAAAGGGCUGCGAGACCGCAAGGUUUAGCCAAUCCCACAAAUCUGUUCUCAGUUCGGAUCGCAGUCUGCAACUCGACUGCGUGAAGCUGGAAUCGCUAGUAAUCGCGGAUCAGCAUGCCGCGGUGGAAUACGUUCCCGGGGCCUUGUACACACCGCCCGUCACACCACGAGAGUUUGCAACACCCGAAGUCGGUGAGGUAACCUUUAUGGAGCCAGCCGCCGAAGGUGGGGCAGAUGAUUGGGGUGAAGUCGUAACAGGGUAAACCGUAAA
rnacentral:rRNA from 1 species